GGGAAACUUCAGCCCUCAAGAUGUUUCUGAACUACAAUUCCCAUCACCCCUGGCCGUUGGCAAUGUUUUCUGAGGCUAAUGGGAACGGUGAGAAAAAGAGGCGCAGCAGGAGAAUAAGUGUGAGGCUUGUGGGCUUUCUGAAUCAGAUGAGGUGAAAACUAUGAUUUUAUCCCUUGGGCCUAACAAGGAACAGUCACAAUGCUGAGAUAAAUCCUUAAGCAGACUCCAGCAACCAGGGGUACGCAGAAUCCUGUGGGUUUAGAAAGAGAACCUUAGAAAACAGAAGUGCCAGCGUUAUAUAAAGGUAAAGGUAAAGGGACCCCUGACCACUAGGUCCAGUCGUGACCGACUCUGGGGUUGCAGCGCUCAUCUCGCUUUAUUGGCCGAGGGAGCUGGUGUACAGCUUCCGGGUCAUGUGGCCAGCAUGACUAAGCCGCUUCUGGUGAACCAGAGCAGUGUACGGAAACGCCAUUUACCUUCCCACCAGAGCGGUACCUAUUUAUCUACUUGCACUUUGAUAUGCUUUUGAACUGCUAGGUUGGCAGGAGCAGGGACCGAGCAACGGGAGCUCACCCCUUCGCAGGGAUUCGAACCACCAACCUUCUGAUCGGCAAGUCCUAGGCUCUGUGGUUUAACCCACAGUGCCACCCGCGUCCCUGCCAGUGUUAUAAUAAGGUGUAAACAGGAAGAGGUGAUCCUUAAGGUACUGCAACUCCAUGCUGCUUAGGGUCUUACAAGGCAUCCUGCAGUUUAAAAAUAAACAAACAAAAAACUAUGAUCGUCAUGAUGCCAAGAUGAUCAAGGGGGCAGAGAGGCGCAGGAGCAGUUGACUCACUUCUGCUCCAGAGUGAUUUCCAGCGUUGCAAUGAGAGACCCUUUUAUGAGUUUGGGAACCUUUUCUUUUCCAAUUAGAGCGCACAGCUGCUCAAGAGAAAGUGAUUCCUGUCUGAUGGGUAGCAGACACAAGGCAGGCACUCACGGCCUCAAUGGGGGCCAUUGUUCAGGGGGAAAUCUUGCCAUUCCAAAUGCCCAGAUGUUAUGGAACUAUUUUCUCCUUCAUCUUUCACGGUCACUCUCUUCGUUUAUCUAGCUGGGCUCUUUGAAUCGAAGCGGCGGCUUUUGUGCACUUUGUAGAUGAAGCACCUUCCAGCUUGGGCUUCAGGAAUGUCAUCUGGCUAUGCUUUUCACAAGGGCUGUAGCUCCACAGUAGAGCAUUUGCUUUGCAUGCCAAAGGCCCCAGGUUCAUCUCCAGGUAGGCCUAAAAACCCAGGAGAGGCUGAACCCCUUGCAGCCAGCGCUGGUUUGAUACAUGGCAUAGGAAGUGCCCUGCCAGGGAAGGAAGUACUCAGAGCCAGUGUGGUGUAGUGGUUAAGAGCGAUAGACUCGUAAUCUGGGGAACCGGGUUCGCUUCCUUGCUCAUCCACAAGCAGGUGCUGGGUGACCUUGGGCUAGUCACACUUCUCUGAAGUCUCUCAGCCCUGCUCAUCUCACAGAGUGUUUGUUGUGGGGGAGGAAGGGAAAGGAGAAUGCUAGCCGCUUUGAGACUCCUUCAGGUAGUGAUAAAGCGGGAUAUCAAAUCCAAACUCUUCUUCUUCUCACAGGGUGACAAGAGGAUGGCAAGGAGAUGGAGGGCAAUGCACAGGAACCAGAGCAGCAGGACCCAUCAUGAGAGCCAGAGCUUCUCUAUAGACAUGGCAGGCUCUCAGGUGUACAGAGCAUUGGGAGGUAUGCUCUAGGACAGCCUUUCUCAACCUGUGGGUCCCCAGAUGUUGUUGAACUACAACUCCCAUCACCCCUAGCUAGCAAGGCCAGAGCUCAGAGUGAUGAUGGGAGUUGUAGUCCAACAACAUCUGGGGACCCAAGGUUGAGAACCGCUGCUCUAGGAGGCUGUAACAGGCAAGGGCCCCCAGCCCAGCUCCUUAUUUGACCAGGUGGGGCUCACUAGCUCUGGGAGAAGGUGUGAGAUUCCUCAGCUUUAGGCUUGGAACAGGUGAGGGUCACCUGCCUCAUAAAGCCCAGACGUGGCAAUCAGAGCAGAGAUGCUGUGUCUGCUCGGCUGCCCAUGUUGGUGGGCCUUGGCUGGGAUGCCCCUGGACCUCUAUGGGACUGAGCUUUGUGUUGGACUCUGGACUGUAUCCUGACUGCUGGAUUCACCUUCGACCUUGCUUGCAUGGAUGGUCUUUUAACUUUGGACUUGACAUACUGACUAGCCGCCAGGUAGGCCAAGGGUUCAGGAGACUUUGCUUCUAGCUGCUCUCGUUCUUAUAGGUUUGCAUGCCUUCACGACACCAAGGAACUCUCAAUUAAAUUCUGGUUCUGUGUCCCUCAACCUUCCUUGGAUGAUUUGGUCAACCAAGGGCCUCUAGAAUUUGUUGAGAGCUGCCUUCUAGGUGAAGUUCAGCCUCGCUCUUCUGCUCUUGCAAAGUGAAGCAGGCAAGCUCAGAGUAAGCGGUACGUUGUUUUCUGGACAAGCCUUCCCUUUGACAGGCGGACAAAGGAAGCGGUGACAUGUGGAAUUGUUUCUCGUCCUCUCUCUUACUAUGCUAAGAAUUCCAAUUUGCUCAACAGCUGCUGUCACAACCACCACCCAACCUUUGAUCUGGUCGGUUUAAGCAAUGUGCCUCUUAAUGCAGCAACAGAUGCAGCUGAUUAAAUAUAUAAAAAUGCAACAAACCAAAGCCCCUCCUGGAAACAAAUUGCUUGCCACCUUGGUGCCUUGGGAAGCCAUCAACGCUUGAAAGAGACUUGCAGAGCAAAUCAGGCUGGAGGGGAAGGGAUGGAAUGUCACUGUAACUAAGGAUAUGUCAACACUUUAGUUAUAACCAUUUAUUUUUAGGAUUGCUGGUUUGGCUUUCAACAACAAAAUUCACUGAAAGCUGAAGUUUAUGUUACAAUACUUUGGGAUGGAUCUUAACUCUCACCAAAACUGUAGGAAUAGCCUUUGCUUUAACUCUUCACUGCAGCUGAACUAGAAUCCAAGGCGGCUGUCUUACCAGCUCCACCUGGUACACCGGCUGAGACCCUAUCUGCCCACAGACUGUCUUUCCAGAGUGGCACAUGCUCUGGUCAUCUUGACUGCUGCAAUGCGCUCUACGUGGGGCUUCCUUUGAAGGUGACUGGGAAACUACAACAAAUCCAGAACGCGGCAGCUAGAUUGGUGACUGGGAGCAGACGCUGGGACCAUAUAACACUGGUCCUAAAAGAUCUACAUUGGCUCCCGGUACAUAUCUGAGCACAAUUCAAAGUGUUGGUACUGACCUUUAAAGCCUCAAACCUCUUCGGCCCUACAUACCUGAAGGAGCAUCUCCACCCCCAUUUUUCAGCUCGGACACUGAGGUCCAGUUCCAAGGACCUUCUGGCAGUUCCCUCAUUGCAAGACGUGAAGUUACAGGGAAUGAGACAGAGGGCCUUCUUGGUAGUAGCGCACCCCCACCCCACCCCACCAGAUGUCAAGGAGAUAAAGAACUAUGACUUUUAGAAGACACCUGAAGGCAGCCCUCUAUAGGGAAGAUUUUAAUAUUUGAUGUUUUUAUCGUGUUUUCAUAUUUUGCUGGAAGCCCCCCAGACUGGAUGAGGCAACCCAGUCGGAUGGGCGACAUAUAAAUAUAACAGUAGUGGUAAUAAUUAUAAUUAUGGAUAUUAAUAAUAGCCCAGCCUCAAUUUUCUAACAGUAUAAGUUCUGCUUAUGCAAACACUCACACAUGCAAACAGCCCUGUGGGGCAGGCUCCCCAUUUGAGGAGGCUAGGCAACAUGCCCUCUGAUGAGCCCUUCCUCUGCAGUUCGGCCCUGGUGGACUUGCCUAGUAGCAACGGUGCACACUAGCAAGCAGUAGUGCCAUUUGGACGGAGGCUGCGGCAUUAACUCCUCGCAAUUCCCUGAAGCAAAACUGCUGUGGAAAAUUAAACUGGCAGCUUGCGCCGCUCGAAGCAUCGGGACGGAUUCUUUAUUCUUUCAAAGAGUGUUCUAGAGCUGGGUUCUGGGGCUGCAGCAGCUGCCCAGGUGCUAAGGUUGGCUCAGACUGCUUCUGGACACCCCAAAACACAAGAUCUACAUUAGGGAAAAAGAAAGGGGAAAACUAGGGGCUCUGACGGCCAACCAUGUGACUACCUGCAAGAAGAGCGCACCAUGGGUAGGCAAACUAAGGCCCAGGGGCCGGAUCUGGCCCAAUCGCCUUCUAAAUCUGGCCCGCGGACGGUCCAGGAAUCAGCAUGUUUUUACAUGAGUAGAAUGUGUCCUUUUAUUUAAAAUGCAUCUCUGGGUUAUUUGUGGGGCAUAGGAAUUCGUUCUCAUCCCCCCCUUCAAAAUAUAGUCCGCCCCCCCCCAAAGGUCUGAGGGACAGUGAACCAGCCCCCUGCUGAAAAAGUUUGCUGAUCUAGAAGCACCGGCCCUCUGCCAGCCAGUAGCCAAUUUUCAGACAGCACUCAGUGUGUGAGGAUAAGGGUAUUUGCUUGAACGCUUCUACUGUGAGACAGUGGAAUCUGCUAAGCUGUGGGUGGAGCCUGGCAAACUCUGAAGUUUACUGGGUUUUCGGGAGCCAGUGCCAGACACCUGAGGCAGUUAAGAAUAAUGACAACGGUGGGAAAAAGAAUCCAGAAGUAACAGUUGGGUAGGUACUAAUUAUUGCAUUAGUUGAGGCCAACAAAAACAAUAACGUGCCAACUGUUGUUCCCUGGAACUAUAUUAUUAUUAUUUAAAACAUGAGAAGAGCUUUGCUGGAUCAGGCCAAGGCAGAAGUGUACCUAGGGCAGGGUUUCCCAAACUUGGGUCUCCAGCUGUUUUGGACUACAACUCCCAUCAUCUCUAGCUCGUAAGACCCCAUUGGUCAGGGAUGAUAGGGGUUGUAGUCCCAAAAAGCUGGAGACCCAGGUUUGGGAAACCUUAACCUAGGGGUUGGUCAGGUUGGCCCCAGUCAAGGGUGCAGGCCCAAGGGCAGGGGGGUCGCACAAAUCACACCUCUCCACUCUGUCUCGGAGUGGCUAUGAGCCUGCCCACCUGCCUGCUCCCUGGGUUGCUCCUCCACUGCUCUGGGAGGCCAGGUGAGGGAAGUUUCUUGUCCAUGGUCUCUCUCAGCUUUGGAGGCACUGAUAAGGCUCUUUGCCAAGGGCACAAGGGAGCCUAGGUAUGCCCUUGGGCCAAAGGACCAUCUAGUCCAGCACCCUGUUGUUCGAGAAGCCAACUACAGAGCCAGUGUGGUGUAGUGGUUACAGCGGCGUAGCGUGGGUUGUCAGCACCCGGGGCAAGGCAAGUAAUUUGCGCCCCCUAACCCGGGGCAAGGCAAGUAAUUUGCGCCCCCUAACCUGCCGCCGCUGCCAGCUUCUUCUUGCUGCUGCCUGGUCUGGUCUGGUGUUGUUCUCUCCCGCGCUCAGUGCUGCGCUGGGCGGCCGCUGCACUGUCCCUCCCCCAGAUAGCCCCUCGCUCUCUCUCCGCACCGCAUGCCUGGCACCCACCCCCUCCACAGUGGGCGGCGACCCAGCGGCUCGGAUCGGAUUCGCACAGCCAGCACUGCAGUGAGAGAGAGUGAGUGAGCCAGGUAGGGGCAGAGAGCUGCAAGUGCGAGCGCGCCCCCCCAGAUGUUGCGCCCGGUGCGGCCGGCCCCCCCUGCACCCCCCACGCUACGCCACUGAGUGGUUAAGAGCUGUGGACUCGUAAUCUGGUGAACCAGGUUUGCUUCCCUGCUCCUCCACAUGCAGCUGCUGGGUGACCUUGGGUUAGUCACACUUCUCUGAAGUCUCUCAGCCUCACUCACCUCACAGAGUGUUUGUUGUGGGGGAGGAAGGGAAAGGAGAAUGUUAGCCGCUUUGAGACUCCUUAGGGCAGUGAUAAAGCAGGAUAUCAAAUCCAAACUCUUCUUCUUCUUCUAUGGGAAGCUGAACCUGAGUGCAACAACCUUCUUCCCACUUGCAAUUCCCAGGAACUGGAAUUCAGGACUAUGCUGUCUUGGUCAUGGAGACAGAACACAGACACAACAAUCGCUUGUGGCAACUGAUAGUUUUAUCCUCCGUGAAUUCGCCUAUAUAAGAACAUUAACGGGGUGACAUUCCACUCUGUCUUCAAGGAGCUCAGAACAGUGUGUACUUUAUGUGUAAAAGAGAAAGAGAAAGGCAGAGUCUGUUACCACACAACCUCACGAAGUGUGAAGCGAGCAGAGUCCUCGAUCCUAUCCCCACUUACCUGGGAGUAAGCCCCGUCAAACUAAAUAGCAUUUACUUCUGAGCAGCCACGACCAGGAGUGCCCUUAAACCGAGGCAGGAUUAACAACGCCAAGGUCACGCGAGGUUCUGCCUUCCAUUCGAGCUGCACGCAGCUCCGUCUAAUAAUAAUAAAGCAGCCCCACAUUUCCUAUGGGCUUAUUAUUAUGUUUGUUCUGUUAAACUCUCUCUCUCUCUCUCUCUCUCUCUCUCUCUCUCACUCCUUUCCACCGCCUAGGUCUCAAAGCGGCUCACCCACACAAAAAUACGCAAAACUGAAAACCUCAAGAAUCUCGAAACAAAAACAAGCUUUGCCCUUCCAGGAAAUGCUUGAUCUCUCCGGGCCGGCGGCGCGGGAGCCCUUCUGCUUUACCCAACUCCGAAGUCUCGAGCUGCGCGCCCGUCUCCAAACUCGGGCUGCGCCCUUGCGCCGGAGUUUCCUCCUUCAGCCCGCCCCGUCCGUCCUUUCUCCCCCCC